rnacentral:rRNA from 1 species
HHHAGCAGCCGCGGUAAUUCCAGCUCCAAUAGCGUAUAUUAAAGUUGUUGCAGUUAAAAAGCUCGUAGUUGAAUUUCGGGAUUGGCGCAUCGGUCGUGCCUCACGGGGUAUGAACUGGUGCAGUCAAUUUCUCACCUUCUGGAGAACCGCGAUGUCCUUAAUUGGAUGCCGCGGGGAACCAGGACCUUUACUUUGAAAAAUUAGAGUGUUUAAAGCAGGCAUUUUUGCUUGAAUACAUUAGCAUGGAAUAAUAAAAUAGGACGGCAUGGUUCUAUUUUGUUGGUUUCUAGGACCACCGUAAUGAUUAAUAGGGAUAGUUGGGGGCAUUAGUAUUCAAUUGUCAGAGGUGAAAUUCUUGGAUUUAUUGAAGACUAACUACUGCGAAAGCAUUUGUCCAAGGAUGUUUUCAUUAAUCAAGAACGAAAGUUAGGGGAUCGAAGACGAUCAGAUACCGUCGUAGUCUUAACCAUAAACUAUGCCGACUAGGAAUCAGACGAUGUUAAUUUUUAAUGACUCGUUUGGC